rnacentral:rRNA from 1 species
AUGAGCGCGAUAAGGGGCAUUCG